CGCGAUAACCUCGGGAAACUGAGGCCAAUAGCGGAUAUAACUCUCAUGCUGGAGUGCCGAGAGUUAGAAACGUUCCGGCGCUGUAGGAUGUGGCUGCGGCCGAUUAGGUAGAUGGUGGGGUAACGGCCCACCAUGCCGAUAAUCGGUACGGGUUGUGAGAGCAAGAACCCGGAGACGGUAUCUGAGACAAGAUACCGGGCCCUACGGGGCGCAGCAGGCGCGAAACCUUUACACUGCACGACAGUGCGAUAGGGGGACUCCGAGUGCGAGGGCAUAUAGCCCUCGCUUUUCUGUACCGUAAGGUGGUACAGGAACAAGGACUGGGCAAGACCGGUGCCAGCCGCCGCGGUAAUACCGGCAGUCCGAGUGAUGGCCGAUAUUAUUGGGCCUAAAGCGUCCGUAGCCGGCCGGACAAGUCCGUUGGGAAAUCGACGCGCUCAACGCGUCGGCGUCCAGCGGAAACUGUCCGGCUUGGGGCCGGAAGACCUGAGGGGUACGUCCGGGGUAGGAGUGAAAUCCUGUAAUCCUGGACGGACCACCAAUGGGGAAACCACCUCAGGAAGACGGACCCGACGGUGAGGGACGAAAGCUAGGGUCUCGAACCGGAUUAGAUACCCGGGUAGUCCUAGCUGUAAACGAUGCUCGCUAGGUGUGCCGUAGGCUACGAGCCUGCGCUGCGCCCUAGGGAAGCCGAGAAGCGAGCCGCCUGGGAAGUACGUCUGCAAGGAUGAAACUUAAAGGAAUUGGCGGG
rnacentral:rRNA from 1 species